rnacentral:lncRNA from 1 species
GACAACAAGAGGAGAAGGCAAUGGGACAACACAGGUGGAGACAGGAGUGAUGUACCCACAAGCCGAGGCUUGCCAGCAGCCCGUGGAAGCUGGAAGAGGCCCAGGACGAAGCGAGGCCUUGAUUUCAGCUUCAUGAACUGACCUCUGACUCCCGGCCUCCAGAACUGUGAGAGAGGACAUCCCUGUUGCUUUAAGCCACCGAUUCUGGGGUGAAUUGUUACAGUGGCCGCAGGAAACUGACUCAUGUGAUGGAAAGUGCUCGCGUGGUGGCAUCGCACGUAGCCUCCUACUGUAUCCAAACGGCGGGUGUCUGGACUCGGAAGGUAGAGAUUUUCCAGUGCAAAAGGAAAAUUGGAAGGAGUUACUCAAAACCUGAUGGAACUGCCCAUUAACGCCCCCAAACGAAAGUUAAUAUUGUUCCAGCCAUGGGCAAGAAUGUCAAGAAUGCUUUGUAAAGUUUUAUCUCUUUGCAACUCUCCAUUUUAAUUAUUGUCAGGAGGUGACCUACAUACUCUCCAGGGAACUUUCAUCCCCCAUGUGGGUUCUGCUCUCCGUGCCUGGAAGUCCAUUCUCUCCCCCUUUGCUGCCUGCUUCAUUCCUGGGGAUCCUCAAAGUCUCAGGCCGUCUGAGCCUUGCUUGGAAGCCUGCCCAGGCCCAAUGAGGUGCCCUUUCUGAGGCCCACCCAGCUCCCCGUGCGCAUCCCUGUGGCGGCCCUGGGCAGUGGGCCAAGCACGGGCUCUGGAGUCGGGCUUCAAUCCCAG